rnacentral:rRNA from 1 species
GACGAACGCUGGCGGCGUGCUUAACACAUGCAAGUCGAGCGGAGCGGCGAACGGGUGAGUAACGCGUGAGUAACUGCCCCCCUCUCUGGGAUAACAGUUGGAAACGGCUGCUAAUACCGGAGAGUGGUGGAUGACUCGCGUCCUAUCAGCUUUUUGGUGGGGUAGUGGACUACCAAGGUGACGACGGGUAGCCGGCCUGGGAGGGCGACUGGUCCCAUUGGGCUGAGGGACCGACCAGACUCCUACCGGAGGCAGUAGUGGGGAAUCUUGCACAAUGGGGGAAACCUUGACGCAGCAAUGCCGCGAGCGUGAUGACGGCCUUCGGGAUGUAAACCGCUUUCAGCCAUGACGCGGUAGUUGCAGAAGAAGCACCGGCUAACUACGUGCCAGCAGCCGCGGUAAUAC